UCUCGGGGAGGAUUGCCUGGGGCAGAUUGAGCACAAACACCGAGAGCUGCAAUGGUGAAGAGAUGCAGUGAGUGAAAUUGUCGUGCCCUUUCAUCCUGGCUCACAGCUGUAAAAGCUGCGGAUGUUUUAAUGUGUGCAUGUGCAGUGGGAAGGAAGUGAGAGAUCAGAGUCGUGGGGAGCAGCAGCAAGGAUGAACUAAAUGACUGUAUUUGGUAUUUAAGAUACCACAUUAAAAAGGGCUGUGAACAUAAUAAAGAUAAGCAGGAUUACCAAGAGUCUUCACGGUGAAGCCAAUAAACAAACCUGACUGUAGGAAAUUGAGUUCUCAAGAAGUGUGAGAAAAGAACCUUGAAUUUACAGAAUCCUUUCUUUUGGCACUUGAUCACUCUAGCUGGCAGUAGAAACACAGGAACUUCAUGAACAAAGAAAAUCAGAGGAGAAGAAAAAUGGCUCUGCAGUCCUACUGGGAUCCAUUACCAUGGCAGUUUGGUCUCUCACACAUUAGGAAUUCAGUGGACACUGGGUGGUCUCACUGACCCCAUCUGGGCUGCACAGACCUAAACACCAGACAGCAAGUGUGUUCCUGCCAGUUUUGACAGGACAAGGAACCUGAUGAUGGUGGAAACGGGGAAAAUGAAACAGAUCUAAAAUAAUGUGUGAAGACCUUGCUUGGAUACAGCAGAUGCCUACCCUGAUGGUAAAUAGCAACUGACGUGAACCAAGCAUGACAGAUCCUGAAUCUCUCUUAUUUCCAAGCUUUGUGGAACUGCAUGAUGCCACAUGAAACAUGAAAUGAAAUGGAGCAAACAACAGCCUUAUGAAGGCAGGUGGCCCUUGUAUCCAUCCAUUUUUCCUUUUAAAUAGAAAUGACUGACAUAGCCCACAUCCUGCACACUUCCAAGACAAGAGCGUGUUCUUAACAGAGAAUAUAAGGACUGAGAGGCAGCUUGAAGGAUGAAUAAUUCAAAGAGGAGACCAUACCUUCACUGAGUUGGUUUUGGGUGUUUGUUUUUUUGUUUGUUUGUUUUAAAUUUGCACAGUCUACUCCACAGCACAUGGAUAUUCCUGAAGGAACUGCAGCCUGUGAAGAGUCCAGGCUGGACCAUGAAGGACUGCAACCCAGGGAAAGUCUCACAGUGGAACAGGAGAAAAGUGUGUGGAGGAAGAAACAUCAGAAAGAAGUUGACUGCAGCCCCUCACUCCUCAUCCCUUUCAACUACUUGGGAAAGAGGAUGUAUAGGAGUUGGAGAUGAGGGAGUGAAACUAACCUGGGGAAGAGCAGGGAGUGGGCUUUAGUUCUUAUCUGUUUUUUAGUAUUUGUCUCUUCUUGUCUGUUUCUCACCAUCAAACUAUAAAUUAUUUUUCAAUCAGUUAAUUUCCCCCAGAUUUAAUCUGUUCUGUCCACAACAGUAAAUUGCUAAGUGACCACCCCAUCUUUAUCUUGACACUCCAGCUUUUCCAUCUCAUUUUCUCCCCCUGUCCUGUUGAAGAAAGGGGGUGAGGGAGCUGCUGGGUGUGCAUCUGGCAGCCAGUCAAGGUCAAGACACCACAGAUUCUUUCAUUCUCUGCAACUUGCAGAAAAACUUGAAAACCAACAGAUUUUAUCUAGUCAAAUAAUAUUCCAUAUUACAAAUACAUGUGUCAAUGUGAAACCUAACACAUGUUUCUCUCCUUCAGGUUGAAAUAAAAGAUUUG